rnacentral:rRNA from 1 species
GUGGGGAAUAUUGGACAAUGGGCGAAAGCCUGAUCCAGCAAUGCCGCGUGAGUGAUGAAGGCCUUAGGGUUGUAAAGCUCUUUUACCAGGGAUGAUAAUGACAGUACCUGGAGAAUAAGCUCCGGCUAACUCCGUGCCAGCAGCCGCGGUAAUACGGAGGGAGCUAGCGUUGUUCGGAAUUACUGGGCGUAAAGCGCACGUAGGCGGUUACUCAAGUCAGAGGUGAAAGCCCGGGGCUCAACCCCGGAACUGCCUUUGAAACUAGGUAACUAGAAUCUUGGAGAGGUCAGUAGAAUUCCGAGUGUAGAGGUGAAAUUCGUAGAUAUUCGGAAGAACACCAGUGGCGAAGGCGACUGACUGGACAAGUAUUGACGCUGAGGUGCGAAAGCGUGGGGAGCAAACAGGAUUAGAAACCCCGGUAGUCC